GCCCUUAUCGACUAGUGGUUCAGGACAUCUCUCUUUCAAGGAGGCAGCGGUGAUUCGACUUCCCCUGGGGGUA
rnacentral:tRNA from 1 species